AUACGUAGGGGGCGAGCGUUGUCCGGAAUGAUUGGGCGUAAAGGGCGCGUAGGCGGCGCGGUAACUCUGGAGUGAAAGUCCUGCUUUCAAGGUGGGAAUUGCUUUGGAUACUGCCGCGCUUGAGUGCAGGAGAGGUUAUCGGAAUUCCCGGUGUAGCGGUGAAAUGCGUAGAGAUCGGGAGGAACACCAGUGGCGAAGGCGGGUAACUGGACUGCAACUGACGCUGAGGCGCGAAAGUGUGGGGAGCAAACAGGAUUAGAUACCCUGGUAGUCCACACUGUAAACGAUGAAUGCUAGGUGUAAGAGGUAUCGACCCCUUUUGUGCCGGAGUCAACACAAUAAGCAUUCCGCCUGGGGAGUACGGCCGCAAGGUUGAAACUCAAAUGAAUUGACGGGG
rnacentral:rRNA from 1 species